AUGUAUAAUGUCACAGAGGCCGUCUGGUGUGAUGGGAAGAGCUCUAGGGAUCACAGAAUCCAAGUGGGAAUGGAUUGUAGAGGUCAUCCAGUCCAACUCCUCCUUUUACAGGGAGUUUUAGAAAGGAAAAAAGGAAGAAGCACUUAUAUAAAAUCUACUAUAUUCCAGAAUAGGUGGCAGCAUGGGAUGUUGCUGAACUGGAAUUCGAGUCAGGGGUCCUGGGUUCAGAUUCUGAUUCUGCCACUUGCCUUCUGUAUGACUUCAGGUUCUGCCUUCAGGAAAACAAAUGGGUUAACAGCUGGCACUGCCCAUGCUUGGAGAUAUCCAGAAGCCUGAAAAAAAAGGCAGCUGGCCUCAAGCUUGGGCAUACACCAAGGUUAUGGGAGCCAAUGAAGAUUCUUGAGUAGAGGAGUAAUGAUCACAGUGGAAAGGUUAAAUAAUUAUUUUGGUUGCAGUGUGACAUAUGGACUGGAGAAGAGAGCGACUCAAGGUGAGAAUAUCGACUGGGUGGCUAUUACAACCAGAGCCCAGACAGUGGAAGUAGGGACAAAGGCAAAAUGAAGAGAUCUUUUUUUUUUUUCAUUUAUGAGAUUUCAAACAAACAAACAAGCAAGAAAACCAAGGCAUAGCAACCAAAUGGCCAUGGAAGUAAGGUGGGAGGAGAAUCCAAGAUACCUUCCAGAUGAACCCUCCAUUAGACUUUGUUUGGUUUUGAGCCUGUGAUCCUGGGAGUUUAAUAGUUCCAAUAAGAGGAAUGAAAAAAGCUAGAAAACUGGUCUAGAGGCCAACUGGGGGCUUGUUAAGCCUUUCCCAGCACCACCAUCCACUGGAAGUGUGGCCUGGACUCUGCAAGGAUGUAGAUGGAGCCAGGGUGAUACAUUUGUCAUCAAAGAGGGCUAUUUCCUCUGAUGCUGCCUCAACCCCUGAAGAGAGUUGUCAACAGUUUUGUUAGAUGUGUUCCUCUAAAGAUACGGUGACUUUGAUGUUGGUCAGUCAAUGAAUAAUUGUUAAGUCCCUACUAGGUGUCAGGCACUAUGCUAAGUACUAGGGGUACAAAGAAUGCCUCCUCCAUGUAAGAAAGUUUCCUAACCCCAAGGCUAAGCGUAGAGUAGAAGGUCCUCUGAUCUGGCAGACUGGAUCUCCCUACAUAUCAGGAAUAUUGCCUUCCUGAGCCUAGCCCUGCCGCUAGGAGGAGGGGAGUUGCCGGGGCAGUCAUAUGGAAAGAGCCUUCCCUAGGGACCAGCAUGUUCUCCGUCUGGUCUGUCACCAUUGAUGGAUCCUGGGAAAUUCCAAGAGGAAGGGAAAAUUAAAAGAGUAGGAAAAAAUAAGAUGAGGGGCUAUUUGGAGCAUGUCAAUUCUUCCUUUGGUAUAUCAUCAUGACCACAGGUUCUCAAAGGUUCUACUGGAGGAAUGUAAGCUAAGACAGGUCCUUACCAGAAUGGAAGAUUUAGACAUAACUCAGAGACUUUGAGAACCAGGUUAAUCAGUUCAGAAAGGCUCAUCACCCAGGAAUGAAUAUUUUUAUCCACAAGAAAAAUCAUUCCCCCAGCUCAAAAAAUUUCAGUAGCUCCCUAUUACCUCUAUAGAGCAAAUAUGAACUCUUCUGUUUGGCAUUUAAGACAUUCACAAUCUUGUCUUAACCUCUCUUUCCAGGCUUUUUAAAAAAUAAAUCAUUCCCUUUAAAGUGUUUUUCA
rnacentral:lncRNA from 1 species